AUCUUUGUGCUUGGGGCAAUGACGCAGCUAGUGAGGUUCUAACCGAGGCGCGUCUAUUGCUGGUUGAAAAAUAUUUUCAAACCCCCUCUUAGACUUGUGUUUAACCAAAGCCUUUGAGAAUUUCUACAAGGACUCUUAUUGGGGUAAAAUC
rnacentral:snRNA from 1 species